AGUGAACGCUGGCGGUAGGCCUAACACAUGCAAGUCGAACGGCAGCACAGUAAGAGCUUGCUCUUACGGGUGGCGAGUGGCGGACGGGUGAGGAAUACAUCGGAAUCUACUUUUUCGUGGGGGAUAACGUAGGGAAACUUACGCUAAUACCGCAUACGACCUACGGGUGAAAGCAGGGGAUCUUCGGACCUUGCGCGAUUGAAUGAGCCGAUGUCGGAUUAGCUAGUUGGCGGGGUAAAGGCCCACCAAGGCGACGAUCCGUAGCUGGUCUGAGAGGAUGAUUCGCCACACUGGAACCUGGACACCGUCCCGGCCUCCUCGGGGGGGAAGAGGGGGGAAUAUUUGGCAAUGGGCGCAAGGCCUGUCCCACCAUACCGCGGUGGUGAAAGAGGCCUUUGGGUUUUAAAAGCCUUUUUUUGGGAAAAAAAAACAGCAAGGUUAAACCCCCGUUUUUCGACCGUACCCAAAAAAAAAAGCCCCGCUUACUUUGGU
rnacentral:rRNA from 1 species